rnacentral:lncRNA from 1 species
UCGUGUCGUGGUGGUUUCCCACAUCUUAGCAGCGUGGGGGAGGCGGUGUCCUCUGCAGCUAGGUCUACUUGCUGGCGACCUCACCAUCACCAGCCCAUCUGCAGGUAUUUUUUUAUUUUUUUUAUUUUUUUUAGAAAAGGAGGAUGCACCCCCGGCCUCUGCAUCUGGACGAUGCAUACGGCCACUUUAUUAAUUGUUAAGCACAAAAGACCUUACAAAGUAGUACAUCAAUAAGCCUGAAGCCACCAUCUAGGCAACAUCUGUCGCUACCCCUACCCUUUGAUGCAGUGGUGCCGAAUGUCCGAGCCUAAUACCAAACAGACAUCGCACCAAAUCCUAACAUCUAAUGCCGGAUGCCCCAUCCUAGCCACAUACCGGGACUGGGUCACACGCCGGUCCGGCGCACUCACCGAGGCUGCCGCCGCCUUCUUCCACCGAUCCAUCUCCAGAGCAGGUACACCCAUCUGCAGGUAUGCUAGCUCCUCUUCUAUUAAUGCAAAAAGGAGAUGCUCAAAUGGAUUGAGGGGUACCCUCCUGCUCCUUUUAUAAUCUUGAAUCCUUAUCGCUCCUACUAAACUGUAACUCAUGUUUCUUUUUGGAAAUAAUAUUUUGGAGAUUCCUAACCUGGCCAAGGGAAUGUAUUGCCCACCUACAGUGAGAGACAUAUACGAAAUAGGUCCUACUAAACACCUAAAAGGAUGUGUUACAGUAGGUGUGCAUAUAGUACUAACAUUUUUGCUAUCUUUAUGCUCCUCCAUAUGGAUGGGAACUAAAAGGAUGAUGACAUUAUUCUACCUUCCAAUAUUUGGUGGCGCAUAUUUAAGAAAAUCACAGCUAAGCAUGUCACUUUCUAGAAAGGCGCUUGACUGGAAUGUAUAUGUAUAUAGUUAAUAAAAUCAUAGUGACUGAUUUUUCAAUUCCUCUAUUAUUUAGAUUAGAGGUGUCUGCAUGCAUAUUAGCCAAGUGAUCGGACUUUCCAGCUCAAAAGAGAAAGUGACCGAUGUUUUGUCAUAUUUUCCUAUUAGGAAUAAAUGGAUGUGCCCAUGCACAUAUGCACACAGAUUUCAGGUUACAGUGUAAUUAGGAAACAGAUGAUACCUCAUUGUGUCGUCUUGGUCUGAGAAGAGGGGAUAUACGGUGAAUAUAUAUGUUCCACCCAACCAUUAAUUUCAGAGAAAAGGACAUGCACUUCAGUAGCAAAAAAUUGAUUGUCAUGUACUAUCUGUAAUGCUAAGCAUUUAUUUGCUAAUAUCUCCUCGUCUGAAUUUGUAUUUUGUGCCAUUUGGCCUUUUAACUAUAUGGGCAUCUGCAGAUGGUCUGAAAACCAAGAUAUUCCAGAGAUAAUAACUAUACGGGCUGCUCCAGAUGGACUGAGAAAGGAAACAUAUCCUAGGCCUACAUGCUAAUAUUGUACACCAAUGAAUGCUUCACUUAUUUAUACUUAAUCAGUUGUGUGACAAUAAGCGUGGUAUAAGCUUUUGUACCCAUCUUCAUGGUUGAAAUACUUUUCUGCAAUCUGUGACACAUUUGCUUCAGUUUCCAUAUGUCUUGCUUCAUGCUAUCAACAUUGUUAAUAGUUUAAUUUUAUCUUUCUUUCCCUUUAUAGCCUACUUGAAUGGAUAUGGUUCCUGAGAGGCCAUUUAUUAUGCAUCAGGUCCUGAAGGUGGAUGUUGCUUGUUUAGAUAUCUAUGAUUCCAAAAAAUAAAAACGGUUCAUGUCAUAAUGGACGCUAUUUUAUUGAGAGUGGCUUCGGACAAUAUGGCAUGAACAUAUUUGUUUUUCUUUUUGGCCAAUAAUAAAAUGAGCUUUGUGCAUAUAAAAUGGUUAUAGAUACCUUAAUUCUUAGUUCUAAUUAGCUUCUCACGUUAACCGGUUUAAGCCAUUCUACUAUCUGUAAUACAGUCCACAUUCCACAUUGCAUCAUCUUUCCAUUUAUGUUUCAUACUUAUUCACUACGAACAUCGCUUCUAACUCACUUCUUGCGCCAUUGGCGCAACCAGGUCAUCUAGUUGCUAUUAAGGCAGAAAACAUGGAAGAGGCUAGGAUGUAGUCAAAAUGAUGAUGACCAAACGUUGUUCUUCAAACAUUAUGAGGGCAAGACCACCAUACUAAGUGUUUAUGAUGAUGAUAUUGUGAUCACUGGAGAUGAUAAAGAUGUAAUUUCUAGGAUUAAAGGCAGUUGCCAAUUAUUUAAUAUUGUGUGUGGUGGAUAUGUUGCAUAUUCUUAUAGCAAGAGUUAAGCAGGAUGGUCACGUUGGAAGAUGAGCGUGUGUCUAUCCUCCAAGGCCAGUCAUUUUAAUGGAACAUGACCUUUAAAAAGUGAUUAGUAUGAAGUUGAUCAUGUGUCUUUUCG